CUCUCUCUCUCUCUCAGAGAGUAAUCGGUGGAAGAAUCAAGCACACUCUUUGCAAUGGGAACCACAGUAGUCAAGCAAAACCAGGUUCGUUCUCCCUUGAAUUUUUUUGGGGCUGUUUGGCUACACGUUUAUUAGCAAUUAAGCAAAAAACAAGAAGCAAGAACUGACAAGAAAUUCUGAUUACACGUAUUGAUGAUAAACAAAACUUGCAUGUUGGUGGUAUAAAUUCGUGGAAUGGGUAGGUAUCAUCGACUGUUAUGAGCUUCAAAUAGGUUCCGAAACUCUAUUGUUUUUUUUUAAUUGGAUGUGAGAAAUUCAUUAAGGAAAACAAUGUUAGAAGAACCAAGACGGCAUACCUUCCAAACAGGUAAAAUCUCAGCUAAGCUGAGGCAAAAUCCUUGGGGAUUUUUCCAACAGCUACAAAGCAUGGUGUCAAGAGGAGUUUGUUUUACAGUUAAAAAUUGGGAGCUUCAAACACGGGCAUCAAAUCUUAUGUAAAACCAUAGAAAAGGUUGAUGAAUAGCUUGAAAAUCUGUAAAGUUCCUUUCUUGCCAUAUCUAGUAUUUAAUGUAUGCCCAAGCAAGCUUUCUAACUAAGUUGCCAAAUAAUUUAUCACUAGAUUUUCCAACGAGCCGCGAGAUUUCAGCAUUUCGAUUGUGUGGUGGUUUAGAAAUACUCUUAGAUGAUAUACCUGCCGCCAAAUGCCUAGAGUAGGAGCAGAGAAAGAAGAUGUGAAGUAUAUAUUUUGUUUCUUGAUGGCAGGAGGAGCAAACAGCUAAUGAAGAUGGAAUAACUCUUCAUUUACCAAGCUUAUCUUUAGUUCUCAGCUUCUUUUCUAUUGCUUAUAUUUGUUGCUCAAAUGAGGAAUGCUAGAAAACAUGUCUAUUAGUUAGUACAUAGAUAGUUUAAAUGUAGGUGGCUAGAUAUAUAUUGUUAUGAUUACUCAUGACUUUCAUGUUAGGACUCCCAUAUUGGAAUCAGGGUGACUUGGAAGAGGGACUGGUUUGACCCGGAAAGCAUUAGAAGUCUGGUGUAACUGAGUUUCCUCAAACAACUCAUCCAAACAGUUGUAUUUGAGAUAUGAUUCUUUCAGUGAAUUCAAUGAUUAAGCCUUGGUUUUUGUUGCCCCACUUCAGUCUUGUCUUUGUAAGCCUCUCACAGGCCUUGUCCUAUGCUCCUAUUUUACUUGGGUUUUAGUCCCUUCUACGUGCCAAUGUAUAGAACACUCAUGCAGUUGCCGCCCCAGAUUCUACUGCGGAGUUGCCCUUGAAAGCAGAAAAAAUGGAGGUUGCAUUGGAUGAAAUUCGACCAUAUCUCAAUUGCUGAUGGCGAGAUCAAUGGCAAUGUUGUGUGGUUGAAGCUGCAAGGAGCAUGAGGCUCCUAUUCAAGUUAGGUAACGAGUAUGAAGAUGAGAAUCGAGCAUUGUUUAAUGGAGAUUUUUCCUCAAGUAGUUGCGGUGGAACCUAAAGCAGAGGAGGAGACUGGCCUUGAGCUGAAUGAAAAUAACAUAGAGAAGGACUUGGAAAUCAAUGUCUUUUGUGCAAGCUUGUAUGUGAUUUUGCAGUGUCUGGAAUGGAUAGAAUUUUGAAGCAAAAUGUGUGCUCUCACCAUCUAAAUAUUGGAAGGGCGCCUCAUUUCACUACUUUGAAAAGACAUUGCCUAUUUUGUCUUUCACAUCUUGGGAGGAAUACAACCAGGAGGGUCUAAUUCAAAAUCGGGUAGAAAAGGCUUGGAUGUGUUAUUGGCACUCUCUGGAAUGGAUUGGAUAUUUUUGAAACAAAAUUUGUGCUUGGCCAUGGCUAAUAUUGCAAUGCGCUUUUUUUUUCGUCCCUAAUUCCAAGAUCCACACCCUAGAAAGCAAUUUUAUUAGUCCAAAGAUGAUACCAUCGGAAGAUCCGGGUCCCUGCUAAUGAAGACCUUUGCCAAAUAGUUCCAGCUUUACAAGUCAAAAUGUAUCGUCCCCGAAAUUAAUCAUGAACAGGACAGCUAAAAAAGAACAUUCUAUACGGGACCACACAAUUCUGCAAAUUCGAUUAUUAAUACAAACAUAGAUAGUGAUCAAGCACACUCAUUGGAGACUGGCAUUAUUGAAGUGUUAUUGGGCAUGACUUUCUUGCUACACAACA